rnacentral:lncRNA from 1 species
UUAGGCUCGAGAAUAGACUCGUCUAGCACCUAAGAUUAGCCUAACACUUGAACUAGUGCUUAGGCACUCAGUAUUCUAGGACCAGUCACCCAAGCUACUAUUAAACAAGGCUGCACAUAAAAUUGUUUUAUGAAGGCUAAAAAGAAACAAGAGAGAUAAGGCAAGAGUAAACUUAUUACUUCAAGUUGUGGUGUACAUCAUAAAGGUAGGGGAACCCUUUAUUUAUAGUUGAAACCUCCUUACAUCUAUGGCUGAGAAUAAUCCUAUCUAAUGGCUCAUAGAAAGUCCAAAGAUUAUAAGAGAUUACAGUGGAGAGUUCAAAAUUCUAAGGACUUUAUCAGAAAGGAGUUUGAACCUGGUGGGACUUUUCCUUCAGUAGUGCCCAAGCUUGGAUCUAUUUUGCCAUGCUUGGGCUCACAUCUAUGCCCAUGCCUAGGUUUGUCUAAAAGCUACCAAAUCGGAUCCACUAGCCUGGGCCUUUAGAGCCUGAUUCUAUGCUCAUGCACCCUUUUCGGCUCAUGGUCCUACCC